GAUGAACGCUGGCGGCGUGCUUAACACAUGCAAGUCGAACGGACAGACGCGGCGCUUGCGGCGUUGACGUUAGCGGAGCACGGGAGAGACACGCGAGGAACACCCCCCUGUCUGAGUGAGAACACCUCGAGACAGCGGAGAUAACCCGGGAGAAGAUACUGCAGCGCAGGGGGGAAUGGAGAGAGUCGGCGGUGGGGUCUGGACUAGCGGCUUAUGAGCUGGUUGGUGGGGUCGUGGCGUACCAAGGCUAUGACGGGUAGCCGGCGUGGGAGGGUGGCCGGCCACAUUGGGACUGCGAUACGGCCCAGACUCCUACGGGAGGCAGAAGUGGGGAAUAUUGCACAAUGGGCGGAAGCCUGAUGCAGCAACGCCGCGUGCGGGAUGAUGGCCUUCGGGUUGUAAACCGCUUUCGCCUGUGACGAAGCGUGAGUGACGGUAAUGGGUAAAGAAGCCCCGGCUAACUACGUG
rnacentral:rRNA from 1 species